UACGUAGGGGGCAAGCGUUACCCGGAUUCACUGGGCGUGAAGCGCGUGUAGGCGGCUGGCCAAGCGUGGUGUGAAAUCUCCGGGCUCAACCCGGAAACUGCACUGCGAACUGGCCUGGCUGGAGUGCAGGAGAGGGAUGCGGAAUUCACGGUGUAGCGGUGAAAUGCGUAGAUAUCGUGAGGAACACCAGUGGCGAAGGCGGCAUCCUGGCCUGUAACUGACGCUGAGACGCGAAAGCGUGGGGAGCGAACCGG
rnacentral:rRNA from 1 species